CCGCGGGACGGGGCCGCCCCGCGAGGGACGGCGCCGCCCCGGGGCUCGUGAUAUCUCAUCUCGCCGCCCGUCGCGAGGCGGACGGAGGGAUGGAUGAGGUUACCUGGAAAAAAUCGGGGCGAUCUAGGCGGGCGAACCUCGCCAACGAACGAUCGGACAUGGGAUAACGGAAGAGGGCGUCGGCUCGACUUCGUCGGUUCCUCGGGCCGAGGCACGUACGGUGAAUAGGGACGGUCGGGGCCGCCCGUACCGGGUCGUGAGAGGUGAAAUUCUAGGAUCGACCCGAGACGAACCGCCGCGAAAGCAUUCGGCAAGGACGCUUUCAUUAAUCAAGAACGAAAGUCGGGGGAUCGAAGACGAUCAGAUACCGUCGUAGUCCCGACCGUAAACGAUGCCGACCGAGGGCCCGGAGGAGUUACGUACGACCCUCCGGGCCCUCCCGCGAGAAAUCAGGAGUAUUCGGGUUCCGGGGG
rnacentral:rRNA from 1 species